GCCGACGCGUUUUUUCCUUUUUCCAUUUUGUUUUUUAUAACUGGUUGUCCCGCUACAGGUAAAAAGAAAAAAAACCGGGAAUCAGGAGAAUAGCUCAGAUUUGCUUAGAUUAUCCGGGAUGCCGCAGUUUCCAACGAUUAUCAUGGGUGUCCUGCUUCUUCCCCAUCGGACAACGCAAGACGGCGAAAUUCCACCCUGGAUGAGCGAAAAAUCAAUGAACUGCAGCAGCUGAAAAAAGGCAUUGUUCGUUUGUGUGGUGGCAUUUUAUUUGAGUACGAAAUGUUAACACAUUGAUUCAUGGCCUCGGCGGAAACCAGGUUCUCGGUGGCAAAACUGGCCGUUGUGGAAGUGAACGAAAUGUUCUCAUCAUUCGGCUGGAUUGACUUAAAACUCUUAGCAGCGAUUUACACAUUGUUUUCUCGACAGUUCCAAAGUUCCGGAUCAUAAAAAGAGUCCCGUUAGCACCCGUGCGCGACAAAAUCUUUUUCUACACCUAAAAUGUCGCAGCAAUGGGAUCGUUACUGACAAAAACAUCCAGGUCAUUUUCAAAGUGGAAAAUCAGAAGCGUAAAUAAAAUUCUGGCGAUGCAGUUUGCUAUUCACAAAUGGCCCAAACUACUGCUGGCUGGUAUUUCAAAAGUGAUCAGAAAUAGUUCCGAGGAAACCAAUGAGGUGCAAUACGCGGCAUAAAAUGCAUUGGCUGAACUGGCUAACGUUUGUCCAACGACUGUGAAUAACGAUGUCCAUCUCGUUGCUCCCUAUUUUGAUUAUUUACCAGGGACCGGUUUAAUUGCAUACUUCGAUAAGAGACGACUUGGUAGCCUUGACUCAGACUUUCGACUGGAGGAAGCAACCGUAUCGUUCUACCCAAGGGGGAAAAGGACACCAUCAUGACUACCAGAGGACGGUCUGUUCCGAGUUCCAAUCACAUUUGAUUGCUGAGGCUGUUUGGCGAAAAGGCUGAGAUGGUUCAAUCGGCCUCUAUCAAAAGUCUUGGUGUAAUAGGUUCUACCUCUACUGCCGCUCACCUCGGAACCGUCUCCUAAAGGCACGGCAAUGGAAACUAGUCGAGACAAUGUAAGCAUGGAAACCACUUUGAUGAAAGCCUUUAUGGCACUUUUUCAGUGUGGUCACAACAAAGCUAAAAUCCAAGAGCAUAUCGCCCACUGUUUGGGCUAUCUGGUUGUCGGUGAUGAGAAUUUUUUUUUGCCAAACGACUACUUGAGGAUUUUCUGGGGCGGCUGAGUUGACGAAAAAUGCGGCACUGCAUAUCGCCAGGGAACAAGCAUUGUUUUGAACUGUUCGAGGUCUUUCGAGUGGGGAACGACAAGUGGACCAGGAUUCGAUAGGAAAUAUAAACGAUGGAAUGCUCAAUUCGUUCCUGAUUGAGUAAGUGCGGAAGGUGAACAAGUCGCAUGCUUAUUUAAAACACCUGUGUCAUCUGGUUGUUGGCUAUAGUUAAAAAUUUCAGCAAGCGCAAGCCGAUGGGGAAUAAUAGACAUUCUGCAGCUGGCAUUCACUGAUUUACUCUCAGAGGAUAGUGGUAAGUUGUGCCAUUUUUGUUUUUGAGAGUGGAUAAUAUUAGACUUAAUUUUAGAAUACUGGAAUUUUAGAAUCUGUGAAUCGAAGAAUUUCAGAAUUUUAGAAAUCCAGCAUUUUAGAG